rnacentral:rRNA from 1 species
UAGGGAAUCUUGCGCAAUGGGCGAAAGCCUGACGCAGCAACGCCGCGUGGGGGAUGAAGGCCCUCGGGUUGUAAACCCCUUUCAGCAGGGACGAAACUGACGGUACCUGCAGAAGAAGCCCCGGCCAACUACGUGCCAGCAGCCGCGGUAAUACGUAGGGGGCGAGCGUUGUCCGGAUUCAUUGGGCGUAAAGAGCUCGUAGGCGGCUUGGCAAGUCGGGUGUGAAAUCUCUGGGCUUAACUCAGAGAGGCCACUCGAUACUGCUAUGGCUAGAGUCCGGUAGGGGACCAUGGAAUUCCUGGUGUAGCGGUGAAAUGCGCAGAUAUCAGGAGGAACACCGGUGGCGAAGGCGGUGGUCUGGGCCGGCACUGACGCUGAGGAGCGAAAGCGUGGGGAGCGAACAG